GAACUAUCCACAGAUAAAGCUCUCUCUCUUCAAUCUGUCUUUUACACACAGCUCCUACCAGGGCUUCUAUAAAAAUAAGGGUAGCUUACAAAUGACUAGAAAAACUGAUUCCUUCUGAGACAUCAGGUCAUUUCCCAUGAAAUCCAGAUUUUGCUGGAUCUGUGAAAAAGAAUCAACCUCUUGGAAAUCACCUUAAAAGGACCUGAGAGUUUGAAAGAAGCAGGUAUUGAACCUUAAUUUCUUCCCUGAACAAGAAAAAUGGUCUGUGACCGAAACUGUGGGCUCAUCGCUGGCGCUGUCAUCGGUGCAGUCCUGGCUGUGUUUGGAGGUAUUCUAAUGCCAGUUGGAGACCUGCUCAUUGAGAAGACAAUUAAA